UCCCUGGAGGUCCAGUGGUUAGGACUCAGUGCUUUCACUACCAUGGCCCUGGGUUCAAUCCCCGGUCAGGAAA
rnacentral:tRNA from 1 species